GUGGUGGCCAAGUGGUAAGGCGUUUGUCUCAUAAACCAAAGGUCAUUUGUUCAAACCCCAUUUAUGC